rnacentral:rRNA from 1 species
UACGUAGGGUCCGAGCGUUGCCCGGAGUUACUGGGCGUAAAGCGCGCGCAGGCGGCGGUGCUGGCCCGGCGUGAAAGCCCCCGGCUCAACCGGGGAGGGUCGUCGGGGACCACACCGCUUGAGGGCGGUAGGGGCUGGUGGAAUACCUGGUGUAGUGGUGAAAUGCGUAGAGAUCAGGCGGAACACCCGUGGCGAAGGCGGCCAGCUGGGCCGUCCCUGACGCUGAGGCGCGAAGGCGUGGGGAGCGAACGGG